GAAUACGGGGUACACCACGGCAUCAUCAUCACGUGCACCAACAACAACAACGCUUAGAAAGGCUUCAACGAUAGCUGAAUUUAAACUGCUGGAAGGUUUUUCCCCACAAGAUAUCCACAGAUUUUCUCUCCUUAUAUUACAGCGUAUGAGAGGAAAGGAGGGAAAAUACAGGAAGGGAUUUCAUACAUUAUUCUGGCGAUAACCAGAUAUACCUGGUUUUACUGGACAAAUAGGCCUAGGAUAAAUAGGAUCCAGCAGAAAAUGAGGUACAGGAAAUCCACCAGGGACCCAAGCGGCCACCAGGAAACAUCGAUGCAUCAGGUUAAACUCAUUCGUAUCUCCUUCAUCAAAUACUGAAUUAGGCGGGGUUUUUUAUGAGAAGCCGAUCCUUUAAAGACGCACAAGAAUUAACCUUAUGUCGACCAAGUCUUCCACCCCACAUCAGGGCUCAAAUUACGACUGACUGUUGCCCAAUGCAUGCCGAAUCACAAUUUUAAUAGGGCUACGCUAGAGUAUAAUACAGUAUAUACAUCGCCACCCAUGUGGCCUGGAGAGCGUUUCAUCAAUAUUUUUCUCCGACAAAUUGUCAAACCUGACAUCUUUCAAUGAUUUUAAUUGGCUGAGAGGCACUGUUCCUAUGGUAACUGUCGGAUAAAAUGGGACUUGUCGGAUAAAACGUCCGACAGGUCCUUUCAUGAAACGCCCUCCUGGUCAACACGGAUUGGGGCAGGUUUUCAUCAGGAGAUGAUGGCGGGUCAGGUGGAUAGGAGAAUGUUGCUUCGAAGGCGUCCUCGUGAGGCUAUCCUACGGUGAGAUAGGUCUGACGUCCAUCGCAGUUCACCGGCCAAGUCUGUUUCCAACUUGAGAGAGCCUACAACACGCAGGAUCACCACAGGAAGGUAGAAGGUGUGGCAGUGUACUUCGGUCGACGAUGCAGAUACGAUGGCCUUUACGACUGGAAAGUUCCCCCGAUGCAGAGCAAGAAUUAACCUGGCGUCGACCAAGACUUCAAGAUUUGCUGGUGGUCAACGAUAUGUGAGCACCUCAUGCAUCACGGGCCAAAAGCUUGGAGUGGAACAGGCUUACGUUCGAGUAGGUCAGCGAGGAAAAGAACAGGUUUUCAUUAGGAGAUGGUGGCGGGUCAGGUGGAUAGGAGAAUAUUGCUUGGAUUGGAAGGCAUCCGCAUGGGGUUAUCUUCCGGUGAGAUGAGGUCUGAUGCCACUCUGCUGAUCAUUCAAUUCGAUUUGCCGUUUGAAUGCGAGGACCCAGUUUUACUAUGAGAAGGAUCGAGGAGGAUGUGGAUAACGGACUCCGGUCGAUGGCCAUGCCGAUCCCCAUGGUUGGAAGGUUCACCCGAUGCAGUCUCGUCAUGGUGAGGGGUGAUCAAAGAUCCAGUUGGUCUUCUGUAUGUCUUCCGCUGGCCCGAGCCCAGGGACUUUACGUUAUGACCAGGGACGGAUCCAGGAUUUUCCAAAAGGGGGGACAAAUUUUUCGGAGGAAAAUUUUGGCAAGCCCCCCCCC